CUUGAAGGAGCUAUAAACUAGUAGAGGAAAAAAAUAGUGCUGUAUGAAACACGUGUAAACGGAAGCCAAGAGAGACUUUAUUUCAUCCUCUCUCCAUCUCUCUUGCUUGGACCAUCUUCCGAUUCAAGUGUUUUCCUUCCCAAAUAUGGGCAAGAAAGGCUCUGGCAUUCUGCAGCAUCGUUUCCUUGAACUGUGGGUGGACUUUCUGUUACCAGAGAGUUCAACAGCUAUAAAGAGACACUAGCCGGCCACCCGUGCAGCGUUCCUUUGUGGCAGACAAUGGCACUUGGGAAAUGCCACACGCAUUAGAAGCAGACGUGGAUUGUCUGAGGAGCCUGUGCAAUGGAAACUCCAACUGAAAUCGCACAGGAUCACGAACAUUCUACUUACUUCAAGGGGCUGGAAGAGAGAGGAGGAAGAAAAAGCCUGAGCGUCAUUUUCCGACAGGCCUGGGCUGCUAUAAAUACGCGCAAGGCCGCAGCGACAGCACGGGUGGGUGGGAGCUGUAUGGGUGCCUGGCGAGCUCUGCUUGGGCCAGCUCCCUGCCUCGUCUUUGGCAGAACUGAGUGCUGGAGGGUUGACUUUGUAC
ensembl:lncRNA